rnacentral:rRNA from 1 species
CAGAACACUGGGAUAGCCCCCGGAAACGGGGAUUAAUACCGGAUGGUCCAUAGUUGAGGCAUCUCAAUAAUGGUAAAGCUCAGGCGGUUCUGGGUCCUCAUGCGUAUGAUUAGCUAGUUGGCGGGGUAAAGGCCCACCAAGGCGACGAUCAUUAGGGGUCCUGAGAGGGAGGUCCCCCACACUGGUACUGAGACACGGGCCAGACUCCUACGGGAGGCAGCAGUAGGGAAUAUUGGGCAAUGGAGGCAACUCUGACCCAGCCAUGCCGCGUGCAGGAAGAAGGCCCUCUGGGUUGUAAACUGCUUUUGGACAGGGACAAAAAGAUCGUGCGCGGUCAAUUGAGUGUACUGUCARAAUAAGCCCCGGCUAACUC